rnacentral:sRNA from 1 species
UCUACAAAGUUUGACUGCUAUUUUUAUAAACUUUGAAGUAGUGUAAUGUAGUUUAUGCAUUUGGUUAGAAUAAUAGUGAUUGUAUUGGCUUUCUCAGCUUGGUGCAGUGGCUUAAAUACAGCAGAAAGGAAUACUGUGAACUUUGUAAACACAGGUUUUCAUUCACUCCUAUUUACUCACCUGACAUGCCCAAUCGACUUCCGAUCAAGGAUAUUGUGAGUGGGCUUGUAACUAGCAUGGCAAGGGCUGUUAGAUACUGGUUUCACUACACACUUGUAGCAUUUGCUUGGUUGGGGGUCGUGCCUCUCACUGCAUGUCGUAUUUACCGAUGUUUGUUUACUGGUUCUGUCAGCUCUCUUGUUACAUUGCCUUUAGAUAUGUUAUCUACGUAA